rnacentral:rRNA from 1 species
UACGUAGGGCGCAAGCGUUGUCCGGAAUUAUUGGGCGUAAAGAGCUCGUAGGCGGUCUGUCGCGUCUGCUGUGAAAACCCGAGGCUCAACCUCGGGCCUGCAGUGGGUACGGGCAGACUAGAGUGCGGUAGGGGAGAUUGGAAUUCCUGGUGUAGCGGUGGAAUGCGCAGAUAUCAGGAGGAACACCAAUGGCGAAGGCAGAUCUCUGGGCCGUAACUGACGCUGAGGAGCGAAAGCAUGGGGAGCGAACAGG